CAUAGUUAUUGAUUUGAGCGUUGAAACGAAUUCUUAAAUCUUAACUUAGGCGUUCUUAAUUUUGACUGUCUUCUCUUGUUUGACAGGUUGAGCGAUCCCUCUUUCUUAAGCUUUCUACGAAUUUUACCUUGCAAAUCCAAAAACAUCUCAGCAAUAUAUCUCCUGGCAGAAUCGUUGAACAAAAUUUUUUUAUUGCUUGUAAAACGUAUCGACGGGAUUAAGACAAUUUCUUGUUAUUGUUAAAGAUGUGAAUUUGACUCAACAACUCAGGAAUGUUGAAAGAAGAUUUUCAAACAUGGAUUUUCCUUAAAAUCAAAUGCUACAGAUCACUGGGAUUCAGACAUGUAAACUGAGCCAACCUGAAGCGAGAUUCCGUAAAUAUAAGGGAACAUACGAAGGUUCACCUUCUUAAGGUUAGGUCACAUGAUUGCCCGAACCCGAAAUGGUCAGGUGGAUUAUCAAAUGUCUCUCCACUUCUCCUCUCGACACGUAGCACUGUUCCUAGCACUUUGCACUCAUUGAUUAAGGUUUCCAAAUUCUUCGUCUUUGCUCUUCCUUCUUAAUUCCCCACUUUAAAUUCUUUUCUAUUUCAUCAUUUCCUUUUCACCUUCUCAUUUCCACCGUUGGAUCACCCAUCCAACCACUAACAUUAAGUAAACUUAAAAAUUAGAAUGAAAUUGAUUUAACAAUUUUAGUUAUGAUAUGUCAGUGAUAUUAUAUGAAUAUAAUAUAAAAGUGACACGUUUAAAAGUUUAAUAAAAAUUA